rnacentral:rRNA from 1 species
CAGAAUGACUCUCGGCAACGGAUAUCUAGGCUCUUGCAUCGAUGAAGAACGUAGCGAAAUGCGAUACUUGGUGUGAAUUGCAGAAUCCCGUGAACCAUCGAGUCUUUGAACGCAAGUUGCGCCCGAUGCCAUUAGGUUGAGGGCACGUCUGCCUGGGUGUCACAU